AAUUUUCUGCCACCGAAUACAUUAGCAUGGGAUAAUGGAAUAGGACCCUGUCCUCCUAUUUUCAGUUGGUUUUGGCAGCGCGAGGACUAGGGUAAUGAUUAAUAGGGAUAGUUGGGGGCAUUAAUAUUUAAUUGUCAGAGGUGAAAUUCUUGGAUUUAUGAAAGAUUAACUUCUGCGAAAGCAUCUGCCAAGGAUGUUUUCAUUAAUCAAGAACGAAAGUUAGGGGAUCGAAGACGAUCAGAUACCGUCGUAGUCUUAACCAUAAACGAUGCCGACCAGCGAUUAGGAGACGUUGAAUACAAAACACCACCAUCGGUUGCGGUCGUCCUUGGCGUCUCGGUUUCGGCCGGGGCGCGGGGAUGGCUUAGCCC
rnacentral:rRNA from 1 species